rnacentral:rRNA from 1 species
CAAAUUUAAAAUCUACCUGGUUUYCAGGUCGAGUUGUAAUUUGAAGAUACGUUUUUGACGUUCCGGGUUGAACUAAAUCCUUUGGGAUAAGGUAUCAUGGAGGGUGAGAAUCCCGUAUAUACCAACCGUAGGGAUGUUAUUUAAUACSUUUCUAAGAGUCGAGUUGUUUGGGAAUGCAGCUCUAAAUGGGUGGUAAAUUUCACCUAAUGCUAAAUAUAAGCGAGAGACCGAUAGCGAACAAGUACMGUGAUGGAAAGAUGAAAAGAACUUUGAAAAGAGAGUUAAAUAGUAYGUGAAAUUGUUGAAAGGGAAACGAUUGAAGUCAGUCAUGCCMGUGGGAAUCAACUUWGRGGAAACUCUGAGUGCACUUYUUCGCUUGGCAGGUCAACGUYGAUUUUGGAUGUCAUAAAAUGAUUGGGGGAAGGKAGCUCYUUCGGGAGUGUUAUAGCCCUUGGUAGAUGUGAUGUCUGGGAUCGAGGAUUGCAAUGGAUACCCUUUGGGGCUAGCCGCCUGAUCUCUAAUYGGUAUUGGGUUACGGAUAGCAUGCUGACCGUGAUCUAAUUAUUGGUUAAAAGGUUAG